CGACCGCCCCCCAGGGGAGGAGCGCGGCGGCGAAGGGCGUGCGCGGCCGUUGAUGGCGGCCGGGCGGCCAUGAGGCGGCGGCUGCUGGCGGGGCUGGUGGUGCUGGAGGCGGCCGCGCUGGGCGGCGUCCUCCUGCUCUACCGCGCCAUGGACGUCAGCCAAGAUUUCAGAUACACAAUGCAGAAGAGGUUUCCAUCAAUUCUGGAAGUUUAUUACAAAUCUAAUGAGUGGUCUGGAAUUCAUGGCAUAAAGGAGAAUGACCAAAUGGCAUGGUUAAGCAACAAAAACUAAAAUCCUUUGUGCCUGAACUGUUUCUUCCUUUUGAUGAUGCUUUUCACAUCUCUGUUGUGGAGCCACCUGUCACGCUCUACUUCCCACUUGAUCUGUUUGACAUCUGUAAGAGGGAAGGUGAGAAGUGAGAAGCUGAUGGAUACUUCUGUACAUUAUGUGGAAUAUGGAUAAAUCACGAAGAACUUAAAACUUGACUACUAUAUCUAUACAUGUUAAUAAAGUGCAAAUUUCUGGAUUUGACACUUGAGAAUUUUUUUCCCACUUCACAAUAUGUACCAUCUCAAAAUCUCCAAGUUUAAGACCACCCUUGCCAUUGAUUUGUAUUUUAUUAACGUUCCUGUGGAAGAAUGCAAUGCUUGAAUGCUGCUGUUAAAACUUUUUCAGGUGACACCAGAAAGACUUGUAAAGGUCGUUAUCAUCAUCAGACACAUCCAUAAAUACACCCCCCUCUUCGUCCAUAUCCUCCUCGAAGUCUUCUUCUUCCAUGCUUCCUAAGGAGACCUCCUCAUCAUCCAGAUCACUAAAUUCAUCUUCAUCAUCAGAAUCAUCCCAAUCAGCACCGGAAUCCUCAGUUCUUUUGCUUUUCUUACUGCCUAUGGUUUUCUUUUUUAUGUUACUAAAAAAAUACAUAACAGUCUGAGCAAAUCAUCUGGCAAAAUCCUGUUUGCAUCCACGUAACAUUUAUCUACCUGCAAACACUCUGUUAGACAACUUAAACAUCACUGCAACUGCACUGCAUCACAGUAGUAAAUGUAGGAUGAGAGCUAGUGAACGUGUUAUGCACUCAGGUAUGUUUUCAACAUCAGCAUAUGGAACUGUUAAAAACUAAGCCAUUUUAAGGUCUGGAGAAAAUCCUAUUCCAAAAUAAACACAAAUGUCAGCUUUAGUAUUUUCUCCCUAUGUGUUUCUGCUCCUUUUCAAAAAGCCUUCUCUGUAAAAAAUACAUCACAUGCUGGUAUCCCUAAAUGAGGAUAACACCUGUUUUCUUUUUUUCCCAGAAAGUAAACAUUGCUCUUCAGACACU